UGGUGGCGAUAGCGAAGAGGUCACACCCGUUCCCAUGUCGAACACGGAAGUUAAGCUCUUCAGCGCCGAUGGUAGUCGGGGGUUUCCCCCUGUGAGAGUAGGACGCCGCCAAGCC
rnacentral:rRNA from 1 species